UGAGGGAUAUUGGGCAAUGGGCGAAAGCCUGACCCAGCAACGCCGCGUGGAGGAUGACGGCCUUCGGGUUGUAAACUCCUUUUGUCGGGGACGAGACAAGGACGGUACCCGGCGAAGAAGUCACGGCUAACUACGUGCCAGCAGCCGCGGUAAAACGUAGGUGGCGAGCGUUAUCCGGAUUUACUGGGUUUAAAGGGUGCGUAGGUGGGCUUAUAAGUCAGUGGUGAAAUCUCCGAGCUUAACUUGGAAACUGCCGUUGAUACUAUAGGUCUUGAAUUAUCUGGAGGUGAGCGGAAUAUGUCAUGUAGCGGUGAAAUGCUUAGAUAUGACAUAGAACACCAAUUGCGAAGGCAGCUUACUACAUAUAAAUUGACGCUGAGGCACGAAAGCGUGGGGAUCAAACA
rnacentral:rRNA from 1 species